CAUGAUGUUAUAUAAAACGUGCUGCUUAGACAUCGGGUGACAUAUCCCGCGAUAUUACCAUUGCAACACUGUAGAACCUGACCAACCCAUUCGUGUGAUCCUAACCACUGAUAAAAAUCGCAGCUAUGAAUGCCUCACAGAAAAUUGUUGUUUUUGUUGUAGCCGUUGCCAUGGCAAUGAUGCAAGUAGUGGUUGUGGCCGCUGAGGAGUGUCCAGGCGGCAUGGUGAUGCUGGAGAACGGCAUGUGCGGUGGUGGGGGAAAGUAAAUCGGCCAGAAGAAACAAAUAAAGCCAUUUCAGUGUACAGCAAUUUGAAAUAAAGGCUGUAUGAAAAUA